rnacentral:RNase_P_RNA from 1 species
GCUACAAACCGGGUUAUCGUUCCAUCCUCAACUUGUUGAAGUAUGGGAAGGAAAGUCCGGACAGUAAAGAGCAACACACCGGUUAACAGCCGGGUUCCGCUUUGGCGGAAAUAGAAAGUGCCACAGAAAAUAACUGCUGUGUUUUGUGGAAACACAAACCACGGUGAGGGUGAAAAUGUGAGGUAAGAGCUCACGGGAAAUAUUGGUAACAAUAUUUUUGGGUAAACCUUGUGUACUGUAAUGCCACGUAUAUCAACGCCUGAGGGUUGCUCGCCCGAGUUGAAGGGUAGGCAGCAAGAUCUCCGCAGUAAUGCGGCGGCCAGAUAAAUGAUAACCUCCAGGAUUUACUGGAACAGAAUCCGGCUUACAGGUUUGUAGUUAUU